ACGAACGCUGGCGGCGUGCUUAACCCCUGCAAGUCGAACGGAAAGGCCCUGCUUUUGUGGGGUGCUCGAGUGGCGAACGGGUGAGUAACACGUGAGUAACCUGCCCUUGACUUUGGGAUAACUUCAGGAAACUGGGGCUAAUACCGGAUAGGAGCUCCUGCUGCAUGGUGGGGGUUGGAAAGUUUCGGCGGUUGGGGAUGGACUCGCGGCUUAUCAGCUUGUUGGUGGGGUAGUGGCUUACCAAGGCUUUGACGGGUAGCCGGCCUGAGAGGGUGACCGGCCACAUUGGGACUGAGAUACGGCCCAGAGUCCUACGGGAGGCAGCAGUGGGGAAGAUUGCACAAGGGGCGGAAGCCUGAUGCAGCAACGCCGCGUGCGGGAUGACGGCCUUCGGGUUGUAAACCGCUUUCGCCUGUGACGAAGCGUGAGUGACGGUAAUGGGGAAAGAAGCACCGGCUAACUACGU
rnacentral:rRNA from 1 species